rnacentral:tRNA from 2 species
GGGCGUAUAGCUCAGCUGGUAGAGCAAGUGACUUUUAAUCACUGGGUCGCAGGUUCGAAUCCUGCUACGCUCACCA